GAUGAACGCUGGCGGCGUGCCUAAUACAUGCAAGUCGAGCGAAUGGAUUAAGAGCUUGCUCUUAUGAAGUUAGCGGCGGACGGGUGAGUAACACGUGGGUAACCUGCCCAUAAGACUGGGAUAACUCCGGGAAACCGGGGCUAAUACCGGAUAAUAUUUUGAACUGCAUGGUUCAAAAUUGAAAGGCGGCUUCGGCUGUCACUUAUGGAUGGACCCGCGUCGCAUUAGCUAGUUGGUGAGGUAACGGCUCACCAAGGCAACGAUGCGUAGCCGACCUGAGAGGGUGACCGGCCACACUGGGACUGAGACACGGCCCAGACUCCUACGGGAGGCAGCAGUAGAGAAUCUUCCGCAAUGGACGAAAGUCUGACGGAGCAACGCCGCGUGAGUGAUGAAGGCUUUCGGGUCGUAAAACUCUGUUGUUAGGGAAGAACAAGUGCUAGUUGAAUAAGCUGGCACCUUGACGGUACCUAACCAGAAAGCCACGGCUAACUACGCGCCAGCAGCCGCGGUAA
rnacentral:rRNA from 1 species